UCACGAGUCGAAUAAAAGGUAGUUCGCUGAAUGCAAGAGGUGUUGGUUCGAAUCCAACUCGUGAG
rnacentral:tRNA from 1 species